GUUUGAGGUCUUGUAAGGGAAACUGAAGGGAAUUGUGUAUUGAACAGGAUGGCUUAGACCUGCUCAACUUCUGAGAAUUGAGGCAAAGUGGGCAAUCCAGAUGUAUCACUUGACUUUCUGACUACUGGAAGAAUUUCCCUUCAUUAUUGCACACCAGGGGUAUCCCACAGGCUCAUAAGUGAAAAGGACUUGCCUUGUCUCAGACGAGACUUUGGACUGUGAACUUUUGGGUUAAUGCUGAAAUGAGGUAAGACUUUGGGGG
rnacentral:lncRNA from 1 species